CUUAGAACUUGCAUCGAAGGAGAGAGACAACAUAGGACUUGCAUCGAAGGAGAGGGACAACUUAGGACUUGCAUCGAAGGAGAGGGACAAGCACCGAAGGAGAGAGACAACUUAGGACUUGCAUCGAAGGAGAGUGACAACUUAGGACUUGCAUCGAAGGAGAGGGACAACUUAGGACUUGCAUCGAAGGAGAGGGACAACAUAGGACUUGCAUCGAAGGAGAGGGACAAGCAUCGAAGGAGAGGGACAACUUAGGACUUGCAUCGAAGGAGAAGAAAAAGCAUCGAAGGAGAGAGACAACUUAGGACUUGCAUCGAAGGAAAGGGACAACUUAGGACUUGCAUCGAAGGAGAGGGACAACAUAGGACUUGCAUCGAAGGAAAGGGAUAACUUAGGACUUGCAUCGAAGGAGAGGAACAACAUAGGACUUGCAUCGAAGGAGAGGGACAACUGAGAACUUGCAUCGAAGGAGAGGGACAACUUAAAACUUGCAUCGAAGGAGAGGGACAACAUAGGACUUGAAUUGAAGGAGAGGGACAACUUAGGACUUGCAUCGAAGGAGAGGGACAACUUAAGAUUUGCAUUGAAGGAGAGGGACAAGCAUCGAAGGAGAGAGAAAACUUAGGACUUGCAUCGAAGGAGAGGGACAACUUAGGACUUGCAUCGAAGGAGAGGGACAACUUAGGACUAGCAUCGAAGGAGAGAGACAACUUAGGACUUGCAUCGAAGGAGAGGGACAAGCAUCGAAGGAGAGAGACUACUUAGGACUUGCAUCGAAGGAGAGGGACAACUUAGGAGUUGCAUCGAAGGAGAGGGACAACUUAGGACUUGCAUCGAAGGAGAGGGACAACUUAGAACUUGCAUCGAAGGAGAGAGACAACAUAGGACUUGCAUCGAAGGAGAGGGACAACUUAGGACUUGCAUCGAAGGAGAGGGACAAGCAUCGAAGGAGAGAGACAACUUAGGACUUGCAUCGAAGGAGAGGGACAAGCAUCGAAGGAGAGAGAAAACUUAGGACUCGCAUUGAAGGAGAGAGACAACUUAGGAGUUGCAUCGAAGGAGAGGGACAACUUAGGACUUUCAUCGAAGGCGAGGGACAACAUAGGACUUGCAUCGAAGGAAAGGGACAACUUAGGAAUUGCAUUGAAAGAGAGAGACAAGCAUCGACGGAGAUGGACAACUUAGGACUUGCAUCGAAGGAGAGGGACAAGCAUCAAAGGAGAGGGACAACUUAGGACUUGCAUCGAAAGAGAGGGACAAGCAUCGAAGGAGAGGGACAACUUAGAACUUGCAUCGAAGGAGAGGGACAACUUAGGACUUGCAUCGAAGGAGAGGGACAAGCAUCGAAGAAAGGCACAACUUAGGACUUGCAUCGAAGGAGAGGGAUAACUUAGGAUUUGCAUCGAAGGAGAGGGACAACAUAGGACUUGCAUUGAAGGAGAGGGACUACUUAGGACUUGCAUCGAAGGAGAGGGACAAGCAUCGAAUGAGAGAGACAACUUAGGACUUGCAUCGAUGGAGAGGGACUUGCAUCGAUGGAGAGGGACAACUUAGGACUUUCAUCGAAGGAGAGGGACGACUUAGGACUUGCAUCGAAGGAGAGGGACAACUUAGGACUUGCUUCGAAGGAGAGGGACAAGCAUCGAAGGAGAGGGACAACUUAGGACUUGCAUCGAAGGAGAGGGACAACUUAGGACUUGCAUCGAAGGAGAGGGAUAAUUCAGGACUUGCAUCGAAAGAGAGGGACAAGCGUCGAAGGAGAGGGACAACUAAGGACUUGCACAGAAGGAGAGGGACAAGCAUCGAAGGAGAGGGACAACUUAGGACUUGCAUCGGAGGAGAGGGACAAGCAUCGAAGGAGAGGGACAACUUAGGACUUGCAUCGAAGGAGAGGGACAACUUAGGACUUGCAUCGAAAGAGAGAGACAACUUAGGACUUGCAUCGAAGGAGAGGGACAACAUAGGACUUGCAUCGAAGGAGAGGGACAACUUAGGACUUGCAUCGAAGGAGAGGGACAAGUAUCGAAGGAGAGGGACAACUUAGGACUGGCAUCGAAGGAGAGGGACAAGUUAGGACUUACAUCGAAGGAGAGGGACAAGCAUCGAAGGAGAGGGACAACUUAGGACUUGCAGAUGACAUGGAGGUCAGAAUGAAGCUGACAGAUGAAAAGUAUAAACAAGAACAAUGUGAUGGUGAGUGUGUAAUAUUGCUAAUUAAGGAUGUAUUUUCUAACUUUUAGAUAUUUCAGGGAAAUGUGUAUGAGGGUGAUUAAAGAUGCAGGAGAGAAAGGAAUGGACAAGCAGGUGACAUGGAGGUCAGAAUGAAGCUGACAGAUGAAAAGCAUAAACAAGAACAAUGAGAUGGUGAGUAUGUAAUAUUGCUAAUUAAGGAAACAGAUGAAAAGCAUAAACAAGAACAAUGGGAUGGUGAGUAUGUAAUAUUGCUAAUUAAGAAUACAGAUGAAAAGCAUAAACAAGAACAAUGUAAUAGUGAGUGUGUAAUAUUGCUAAUUAAGGAUGUAUUUUUUAACUUUUAGAUAUUUCAGGGAAAUGUGGAUGAGGGUGAUUAAAGAUGCAGGAGAGAAAAGAAUGGACAAGCAGGUGACAUUGAGGUCAGAAUGAAGCUGACAGAUGAAAAGCAUAAACAAGAACAAUGAGAUAGUGAGUAUGUAAUAUUGCUAAUUAAAGAUGUAUUUUCUAACUUCUAGAUAUUUCAGGGAAAAUGUGGAUGAGGGUGAUUAAAGAUGCAGGAGAGAAAGAAAUGGACAAACAGAUGACAUGGAUUUCAGAAUGAAGCUGACAGAUGAAAAGCAUAAACAAGAACAAUGAGAUGGUGAGUAUGUAAUAUUGCUAAUUUUGGAUGUAUUUUUUAACUUUUAGAUAUUUCAGGGAAAUGUGGAUGAGGGUGAUUAAAGAUGCAGGAGAGAAAGAAAUGGACAAACAGAUGACAUGGAAGUCAGAAUGAAGCUGACAGAUGAAAAGCAUAAACAAGAACAGUGAGAUGGUGAGUAUGUAAUAUUGCUAAUUAAGGAUGUAUUUUCUAUCUUUUAGAUAUUUCAGAGAAAUGUGAAUGAGGGUGAUUAAAGAUGCAGGAGAGAAAGGAAUGGACAAGCAGGUGACAUGGAGGUCAGAAUGAAGCUGACAGUUGAAAAGCAUAAACAAGAACAAUGAGAUGGUGAGUAUGUAAUAUUGCUAAUUAAGGAUGUAUUUUUUAACUUUUAGAUAUUUCAGGGAAAUGUGGAUGAGGGUGAUUAAAGAUGCAGGAGAGAAAGGAAUGGACAAACAGAUGACAUGUAGGUCAGAAUGAAGCUGACAGAUGAAAAGCAUAAACAAGAAUAAUGAGAUGGUGAGUAUGUAAUAUUGCUAAUUAUUUUUUUUUCUUUUGUUUAACGUCGCACCGACACAAUUUAUGUCAUAUGGCGGCAUUCCAGCUUUAAUGGUGGAGGAAGACCCCAGGUGCCCCUCCGUGCAUUAUUUUAUCACGAGCGGGCACCUGGGUAGAACCACCGACCUUCCGUAAGCCAGCUAGAUGGCUUCCUCAUAUGAAGAAUUCGAUGCCCCGAGUGAGGCUCGAACCCACAUCGAUGAGGGGCAAGUGAUUUGAAGUCAGCGACCUUAACCACUCGGCCACGGAGGCCCCUGCUAAUUAAAGAUGUAUUUUCUAACUUUUAGAUAUUUCAGGGAAGAUUAAAGAUGCAGAAGAAAGGAAUGGACAAACAGAUGACAUGGAAGUCAGAAUGAAGCUGACAGAUGAAAAGCAUAAACAAGAACAAUGAGAUGGUGAGUAUGUAAUAUUGCUAAUUAAGGAUGUAUUUUCUAUCUUUUAGAUAUUUCAGGGAAAUGUGAAUGAGGGCGACUAAAGAUGCAGUAGAGAAUGGAAUGGACAAACAGAUGACAUGGAAGUCAGAAUGAAGCUGACAGAUGAAAAGGAUAAACAAGAACAAAGAAAUGGUGAGUAUGUAAUAUUGCUAAUUAUGGAUGUAUUUUCUAACUUUUACAUAUUUCAGGGAAUGUGGAUGAGGGCGAUUAAAGAUGAAGGAGAGAAUGGAAUGGACAAACAGAUGACAUGGAGGUCAGAAUGAAGCUGACAGAUGAAAAGCAUAAACAAGAAAAAUGAGAUGGUGAGUAUGUAAUAUUGCUAAUUAAGGAUGUAUUUUCUAUCUUUUAGAUAUUUCAGGGAAAUGUGAAUGAGGGCGAUUAAAGAUGCAGGAGAGAAAGGAAUGGACAAGCAGGUGACAUGGAGGUCAGAAUGAAGCUGACAGAUGAAAAGCAUAAACAAGAACAAUGAGAUGGUGAGUAUGUAAUAUUGCUAAUUAAGGAUGUAUUUUCUAACUUUUAGAUAUUUCAGGGAAAUGUGGAUGAGGGUGAUUAAAGAUGCAGGAGAGAAAGGAAUGGACAAACAGAUGACAUGUAGGUCAGAAUGAAGCUGACAGAUGAAAAGCAUAAACAAGAACAAUGAGAUGGUGAGUAUGUAAUAUUGCUAAUUAAGGAUGUAUUUUCUAACUUUUAGAUAUUUCAGGGAAAUGUGGAUAAGGGUGAUUAAAGAUACAGGAGAAAGGAAUGGACAAACAGAUGACAUGGAAGUCAGAAUGAAGCUGACAGAUGAAAAGCAUAAACAAGAACAAUGAGAUGGUGAGUAUGUAAUAUUGCUAAUUAAGGAUGUAUUUUCUAUCUUUUAGAUAUUUCAGGGAAAUGUGGAUGAGGGUGAUAAAAGAUGCAGGAGAGAAUGGAAUGGACAAACAGAUGACAUGGAGGUCAGAAUGAAGUUGACAGAUGUAAAGCAUAAACAAGAACAAUGAGAUGGUGUGUUGAGGUGAAACCUGAUAAUUUCUAGGAAGACUGUCUUCGGCUGAUGUACAAAAAGCCUGACAACAGCUUCAAGCCUGGCAAUAGCUUCUGAAAGACACAUAUAUCACAAUAGAGGGAAAUGAUCAACUACAGUCAAUUUGUUUCAACAUUUACCAAGUCCAGGAAAUUCCUAAUACUGAACACAGGAGACUGAUGCCUUGUAAACAAAAAGCAGCGCAUG